UACGUAGGAGACGAGCGUUGUCCGGAAUCACUGGGCGUAAAGCGCGUGUAGGCGGGUCCGCAAGUCUGCUGUGAAAACUCCUGGCUUAACCGGGAGAGGUCGGUGGAAACUGCGAACCUGGAGGACGGUAGAGGCUGGUGGAAUUCCCGGUGUAGUGGUGAAAUUCGUAGAUAUCAGGAGGAACACCGGUGGCGAAGGCGGCCAUCUGGACGGAUACUGACGCUGAGACGCGAAAGCGUGGGGAGCAAACAGG
rnacentral:rRNA from 1 species